CUUUAUGCUUUAUAAUAUAUAUAAAAUAGGAUUAAUUUUAUACAGAUUUCUAUAAAUAUAAUGAAUGAUAAAUAUAUAUUUACAAAGUUCAACUUUUAUAUAUUGUAUUUAUAAAAGUUCUGAUAUUUUCAAAUAUGUCCGGACCGUUAAAAUUCGUUAAAAGAUUUUAAUUAAACAUAGGAUAAAUACUUAUCCAAAUUAGUUUUUGAUAUUUUUAUCCCUCUUAUAUUAAUUAUACUGUUAUAGCUUCUCGAAGGACAUAUUUGUUAUAGCAAAAUUGAAAAAAUAAAUAGAUCUUUAAAGAUUAUCUAACAGUAACAAAUCAAAAGUAUAUAUUUAAAAAUAUCGGAACUUUUGUAAGGACAAUAUAUGAAAGUUGAACUUUAUAGGAAUAUAUUUUUUAUUUACUAUAUUUGUAGAGGUUCGUAUGAAAUAAACCUUAUAAAAUAUACAUACAUAUAAAGAUAUUUUUUAAUUUUUUUUUAAAAUGUGUUUAAAGAAUAAUAAUAACAUUAGUGGGAAAAAAAAAUCUCUUAAAUAAUAAAAAGUUGUAAGAUAUAAUUU
rnacentral:lncRNA from 1 species